UUUUUCUCUAUAAAUUAAAGAACAGAGUCGAAUGUUCAGGGAGUUAAACAGCUGGCCGUUGAUUAUGUUAAAGAAAUCAACAUCUUUAACUUUAGUCAAAUUGGAGUUUGGUUUACGUUCAUUGUACCGAUUCGAUUUUAAAAUGCAUAGCUAAGUACUAAGUAAAGCUUUUAAAAUCUUACUUAAUACAUUUAUUUCAAAUACAUAAAUAAGUAAAAAAGUCUCAAUUAUCUUUGAAUGAAUACUUGAUAAUCAUAGCUUAAAUUUACCUCUGUUUCUUAAUUAAGUUAAGAAUAGGUAAUCUGGAAAAUAUUAAUAGAAUAAAAGAGCACGACCAUGAAUUGCCACCGAGCUUAGGAUCGCUAUGAUUAGCUCCAGAAACUUUAUUAUGAUCAUAUGAUUGUUGAAGCUCUAUAACUACGUAUGGUUUUGACAGCUCAUUUUUAGUGCAAAUAUACUGGAGAUUUCCUAUGCGAUUCCGCUGACUCGGAUAUGCCUCCAUAGAUCGCACUCCGUCACUAGCAGUCAGACAAAAGAUGAUAUCAUAAGACGAAUUACAUACGGAAUUCAUAGGGAACGGAUGUGUUGAUGGAACGAAUAAAUGCCCUUUAAGUGAAGCAAUUUUCACUAAUUGGAGAAAAAAGUACAUCCUGAACGGAUUGGGUCAGGGUCGCCAAGUUGUGGAAAAAUAGAAUUGAGGAGAUUUCGAUGGCAUAAGCAUUUUAUGAUGCAACGCCCUUUAAGACCAUUCGCAGAAAAGCUGAAAAGUUGAAUUAAGUUUUGCGAAAUUCCGGCUUGCAUUAAAACCGGAAAAGCUUCAAGAAUUAAUUUAUGAAUGCACUUCGUUAUAUGCUUGUAAACAAAAGAAAUUGUAAACCGUUUGGUACGGAAUGGUCCCAGAAAUAAUUUGAAGAUCAUUUACUCCGAUAGAUAUCAAUCAAAAGGUUUGACAACUACUGAAACUAUACCAAAAGGAGCUUUUAUAUGUGAAUAUGCCGGUGAACUAUUAACAAGACAGCAAGCUCAAAAGUGCAUGCAAGAAAAUGAUACAAGACAAGGAAUGAAUUAUGAUUUAAGCCUUUGUGAGUCCAUAUCGAAUGGUGGCGGAACAACGAAUAAAGUAUUAUUAACCACGGUCGAUCAGAGUCGGAAAGGUAAUAUUGGACGUUAUUUAAAUCAUAGCUGCCACCCAAAUUGCCAAAUAAAAACAGUGCACAUUGAAUGUCCCUUACCAAAGCCAUAUUUUCUAAGAAUUUUAUAAAAGCUGGCGAAGAACUUUGCUUUCAUAAUAAUGAAGGCAUAAUACAAAAAAAUCAACCUAUAGCUCAAGGCCAAAAAGGGAUACCUUGUCUCUGUGGGUAUUUUUAGGUAUUUUUCACUUAUUCAUUUAACAGAAUAGUUGAGGUUGUAUAUUGUUGCUGAUACAUAUACAAAAAAAGGAAAAUAUACGUAUAAUGAGAAAACACAAACACAUACGAAGGUUAUUUGGACGUUGAACAAAAGUGGAAUAAUUUUGCAUUAUAAAAUUAUGUAUUGUAUGCUGUGGACCGGUGUCUAGGUUUAUUUCAAUUGCAAUCUAAAAUUGGCUUUUAAAUCUCACCAACUUGCUGACGAAGACAAUCGGAAAUAUUCUUGUAAAUACUCUUUUAUUGUUUCUGAAUGAGUUCGGGUAUUUAUCCAUAAGCAACAUUUCUGAUGGUUUCUUAGUCACAUUCUAUUGUAAAGUCAGCUUAUGUGAGGAAACGAGAACCUUGUAAAAA